AUUCGUUCUCAGGGCGGGGUGUAAUUCCCCACCGGCGGUAAGAGGGAAAUCUCAAGCCCGCGAGCGCCUGUUCUUCGAAAGAGGGCAGGGUCAGCAGAUCCGGUGUAACUCCGGAGCCGACGGUAUAGUCCGGAUGAAAGAGAAUGAGG
rnacentral:ncRNA from 2 species